UACGAAGGGUGCAAGCGUUACUCGGAAUUACUGGGCGUAAAGCGUGCGUAGGUGGUUGUUUAAGUCUGUCGUGAAAGCCCUGGGCUCAACCUGGGAACUGCGCUGGAAACUGGGCGACUAGAGUGUGGUAGAGGGUAGCGGAAUUCCUGGCGUAGCAGUGAAAUGCGUAGAUAUCGGGAGGAACAUCCAUGGCGAAGGCAGCUACCUGGGCCAACACUGACACUGAGGCACGAAAGCGUGGGGAGCAAAC
rnacentral:rRNA from 1 species